AGCUGGCCUGCCCUCGGGUCCAGCCUGCCUGCCCUCGGCCUGGAGGACGGCCCACGGGAGGGGCUGAUCCAGAGGUGUGGGAACAAGCACCAAGGCUGUAAGGACGCAGCUGGAGCACAAACGUCCAGACGCCAUGUGGCUGCAGCCUUUGUGUGGGAUGGCCGCUGUCAGGGACGCGGCACGGACGCGCUGGCUGGAGAGGAGCUCAGCCUUUCCCGGCUGAACCUUCUCCGUCGUCAGUCCCCACCAGUUCCUCUGGGCCAAACCAACUCCUUCCCUCCACUCUGCUCCUCUGCCCCUGCCUUGCUCUCACCUGGAAAGGCCACCCAGCCCCACCUGCACCUCCAAGCCCUCCUUAGCCCACAGGCCCACCUCCUCCAGGAAGCCCUCCAGACCACUCAUCCUGCUGCAUGUCAGCACCAGCGCCCUGAGAGCUCCGUGGACCAAGGAGCAAGUCCUAGAGCUGCCUGAGAGACGGACCCAAUCUGACCAUUUUACCAGUGAAGAAAUGGAGG